rnacentral:rRNA from 1 species
AAGCUAGGGUAGCGAAAGGGAUUAGAUACCCCUGUAGUCCUAGCCGUAAACGAUGGAUACUAGGCGUGGCUUGUAUCGACCCGAGCCGUGCCGAAGCUAACGCGUUAAGUAUCCCGCCUGGGGAGUACGCACGCAAGUGUGAAACUCAAAGGAAUUGACGGGGGCCCGCACAAGCGGUGGAGUAUGUGGUUUAAUUCGAUGCAACGCGAAGAACCUUACCAAGGCUUGACAUCCCUGGAAUCCUGCGGAAACGUGGGAGUGCCUUAGGGAGCCAGGAGACAGGUGGUGCAUGGCUGUCGUCAGCUCGUGUCGUGAGAUGUUGGGUUAAGUCCCGCAACGAGCGCAACCCUCGUUUUUAGUUGCCAUCAUUAAGUUGGGCACUCUAGAGAGACUGCCGGUGACAAACCGGAGGAAGGUGGGGAUGACGUCAAGUCAUCAUGCCCCUUACGCCUUGGGCUACACACGUACUACAAUGGUCGGGACAACGGGCAGCGAGCUCGCGAGAGUAAGCGAAUCCCAUCAAACCCGGCCUCAGUUCAGAUUGCAGGCUGCAACUCGCCUGCAUGAAGGAGGAAUCGCUAGUAAUCGCAGGUCAGAAUACUGCGGUGAAUUCGUUCCCGGGCCUUGUACACACCGCCCGUCACACCAUGGGAGCUGGUCACGCCCGAAGUCGUUACUCUAACCUUAGGGAGGAGGGCGCCGAAGGCAGGGCUAGUGACUGGGGUGAAGUCGUAACAAGGUAGCCGUACCGGAAGGUGUGGCUGGAUCACCUCCUUAAAG